UGAUGACUGGAAAUGCUACAAACUGAGAAGACUCUACUUCAUCUGGGUAUGCAGGGACGUCGAAUCUUUCCGCUGGUUUGCAGAUUUGCUCUGUAUGUUGCAUAACAAGCUCUGGCAAGAGAAUCGACCAGACUAUAUAAACAUCCAGCUGUACCUCAGUCAAACAGAUGGAAUACAGAAAAUAAUUGGUGAAAAGUAUCAAGCCCUAAACUCGAGGCUUUUGAUUGGACGACCCCGGUGGAAACUCCUUUUUGAUGAAAUAGCGAAGUAUAACAGGCGGAAAACCAUUGGAGUUUUCUGUUGUGGACCAAGCAAGAUGUCUAAGAUACUUCAUAAACUGAGCAACAGCAGCAACCCUUACGGGACAAGGUUUGAGUAUAAUAAAGAGUCCUUCAGCUGAAAGUCUGUUGGACUUGGAAGAAUCUCUAGAAGAUAAAAGUGCAAUUUUCUGUUCAUACAACUUUAAAGUUCCACUGUGGUUUAAACAGAAAUGUACCAAAGAGUAGCACAGUUUUUCUUAUUUAUGAUUAUUUAAGACUCUGGAAAAUGAUGGAUAUGGCAGUAUACCAACAAAUAUUAAGUGCUCACGCUCAAAGCCAAAUGCACUCACACAGUAUUUGUGGCAGCGGCGAUUCUUUGGAAUUGUUUCUGUUAAUUAAAAAGUACUAAUGCUGGGGAGAAAUGCAGUUGCUUUAAAAGCCAGUGGAAGAAAAAUCUGUGGAAUGUUCUUCCACUUCAAUCUUCUGAAGUUGGAUCAAUAAACAAAACCCCCAGGUUAAUCCAAAUGACAAGUCAUAGGGCAUUUCAAAGAGCUAUUGCUUUUGUUGGUAUAUAGACCCUGUGACUUUGGAGUGGAGACACUCCAUAUUCAAGGUUUUAUGCAUUACAGAACUGGGAUUUUGUAUUUCAAACAUACUCUGUAACGGGUAUCAAUAUUCCCACUUUGAAUAGAGGAGAGAGGGAAUUUAGGGGAAGAUGUAAAUCAACGUUAGGAAAAGUAAGCACAACAGCCCUAGCACCUUUGGGCAGACUCAGCCAUGAUGUAUAUCACAGCCUUUUGGCAGGGAAACAGCUGUACCUGGAAAACUCAGUAUCUAGCAUCAAUUCAGCAUUCAGUGAGUUUGCAAAAUAACUGUGAUUUAUGCAGCCAGAAAGAUGGAGCAAGAAAAGCGAUUAACAGGAGGAGACAGGAUAUGAUGUUUUAUUAUACCACAGGCUCAGCGUGGAAGUUGCACUCACUUUGCACUCACAUGCCCUGAAUGUCAAAUACUUACAGCAUUCAGAUGUUCUUAGUGAUUAAUGUACAAUGCGGCAGGCUGAAAUCCUAUUUUAGGAGUUGUGGAGUGUCCUUCUUGACUGCGGUCCUUUGACUACCAUUGCUGGAGUCAUGCUUGUUGUUCAGUCUCACUGAUCUCUUGUUUGUUCAGUCCCGUUGGUGUCCCUCAAAGCAGCAUUGGGCUAGAUCUGCAGCAGGGUAGGAGUAAAGCUUUCUUUACUGUGGCUCUUUGCAUCUUGUAUACAGAUAUAAACUUUGCAGGAUUUGCAGUGUGUUUUCAGUGUGUUCUAAAAGAGAGAGUCUGAAACAUCCAAAUUUAAGCUCUUCUUCCCUUCUCAUUACCACAGCUGCUUUCUUGACUUCUCAUAGUUGCCAUGAGUUUGAAACAGACACUUUAAAACCUUUUGAUUCAGAGUAGCAGCAUUUUACUUACUCAAUUCAUUAGCCAAACCAAUUUCCUCUUAUUUUCUCUUGACCUUCUUUCUCUCAUUUUGCCAAGAAAGGGACAUUUAAGCUGGAGUCAAACACGUAGUUGGCAUAAAUAGGCCUCAUUCUAGAGCAUCUUAAUACAACAGCAUUGCUUUACACUUGCUAAAAACCUGGCCCUUCGGCAGCAGCUCAGGAGCAAAGCCUGUAAUGUCUGCAGCAUGUGCAGGUGUAUGAUUGCUCAGCAUCCCUCAGAGCGCGGUUCACCUGUAUUUAGCACAGCGUAUUUGAUUCAGCAGAGAGCUUUCCAAUGCAUGCAUUUUUCAUUUUAGUAAAAACAAAUCAGUAAUUUCUCACAGCACAGGCUCUAUACAGGAUUCUUCUUUCAGCGAACAGAGGCAAGCUUCUCUCUGGUAGGUGGUGGUGUGGCAUGUUGUAUGUGUAACUAGUGAAUGUGUAUUUGGUCUUUGCCAUGGCAGUUUCUGCUCAGGAGUUGCUCUAAAUGGUGCAGCUGGAUGCAGUGCAGCAGCACUUACUGCCUGGACUUUGCACUGAAGUUCUUGCCUCUGGCUCUGCUCAGUUUGAAAUUCAGGAGGGAAGGGAAGAGCCAGAGAUGGACUAAUUUCUACUAAUGAGAAUUUUUAAGUAGCCUAGAGGAGAGAGAACCCAAAAUUGAAAUGUGAGAUGGAAGCCUCCAUAGCAGCUUGUGAUUUUUUUUUUUUAAAGUCUGAAUCAUUAUUUUCCCAUUGGAUCUCCUUCAUCUUGUCCCUAUAAACAAGAGGUAUGCAGAAAAGUACCAGUUCUUCUUUAAUUAUUAAUAUUUUUUCUUAUACUGCCUGCAUGGAUUUCAUAAUAAGCACAACACUGAUGGCAAAAUGCAUAAUCAGGUAUUGCCUGUAUUGCAGGCUUUUUUGUUUGUUUGCUGUUAGCACAUGGUGAUCAUUUUUCUCUUGUUUUAGUAUCUAGCAUCUAAUGAUUUUUAAAUAUGGUAUAGAGUCUGCUAAUCUCAACGAUGUUCGUUGUUUUUUUACAUCUCCUUCGAUAGCUACCAGUUCCCUUACUGCAUAAUGAGCAGUUAGUUUUGUAGCAAGCUCUGCGCUAAUACAGAUUAUACUUUGUGGCUCAGCUCUUACGUAGGUAGUGCUUUAUAAUUAAUAAUAGCACUGUGCUCUUGUGCUGAAUUCUAGCAGGAGCUGACACUGUGUGGAGGAAUGUUAUCCCUUGUUGUUACGUUAGCAGUGCUGUCAGAGCAAGAAACUGGCAGAGCCUCUGUCCUGUGCCAAGCUCAGCUGACCCCAGCUGCCAGGCUGGGUACUAUCUACCUGUCUGGAGAGUUGUGAGAUGUAAUUAAUGUUACAGGAUCUCUUCAAUGCACCUCUAGCAGAUUUCUGUAGUUGCUGUUGAGCUGUAUUUGUGUUUUAUUUUUUGUAGUUUCUUUCAUUUGACUGAACCUUUCUGUUGCUCACGUGGGUAUUACUAGACUGGAUGAGUGUGGGCUUGGUGAAAAGUUAAAAGUUUCACUUGCUUUUUUUCCUUUUCUUUGCACUGUGCUCUUUAGAGAAGCAGAAAGUUUAAGGGUGAGUGACUGUGACUUGGCUUCAGGAGUGGCAAAUGUUAUUUAUAAAGGCAGUUGGUCUGCAUUCUCCCUGCUGCUUUGUAGUGUUUCACUUUAGCUUGCAAAACCAAGCUGAGCUUGCUUUUAAACUAUAUACAGUUUUUAUCUGUACACCAAAUGCAUAUGAAAAUAUAACUCUUUGCCAGGCAAGCAAAUGAAGACUGGCAGCACUUAAUUCCACUUUUACUGUUCAAUUGGAUUUAUGCUAUUUAAUGUCUCUUUACGUGUUACAUCUGUGUCCUGGGAGUCAGUCUGCCAUAAGCUUCCUGCUGACAGGGAAAGGAUCCCUCCACGUAUUGUGCUACUUCUUGCACACUUGUCCCAAAGCUACAGACCCUCAGUGACAUCUUUGUGUUUUAUUCAUCAUAAGUGUUUUGGGACUUUUAUUUAAAACAGGAGGGUUUUUAUGCCGUGAUUGAAGCCAAACCCUUUCUCUGCAAAGAAAGCCCAGCUCAGCAAUGUGAGAGAUGGAGCUUUGCACAGCUUGAUUCAUCAGAUUUCUCCAGGCAGUCCUGGUCCCACAGCAGUGAGCUCGCCUGUCUAAGUGUUCACUGCCAUGGUGAAGGGCUGCAGAGAUGAGCCAUGGGAAGUAGCCUGCACCUCAGAGGCCUGCACUCCUCCAGGAUGUUAUUCCAGCCCUGAGUUUGGAGUCACUUCACCUUGCAACCCUGUUUCUGCUUAGAGUACUCAGUGCAUGUGAUUUCUUCCUUGUCCUUUUACCUGCUCUUCUAGGAGACAGGAUUAGAAGGACUGUGCACAUCCUUUAACUCAGGCUGAAGAAAGGAGAACAGAAUGUACCACAUCCCCCUUGCUGCUGACUGCACUGCUUAGGGCACUGGUAGAAAUGUUAAGCCAAAUCUGCUUUCCAACAAAACGCGUAUUGUUCUGCUACACCAAACUAGAGAACAGUUGCUGUGAAAGGAAAAAAAGAUAAAUCAUUUCUGUUUGUAGACUCCUGCCCACAUAAGCCUGAUGUGAAGAUGUAUGAAAACACUGCGCACAUUCAGCUUCCAGCAGCACCGGGGGUCACACACUGCAUCCCUACAAUGGUCUCUCUGCCUCAGCACUCAACUCCCAUCAUUAUUCUUUGUUGCAGGUCUUCACCUGUUAUUGUAGACUCACAGAAUUGUAAUGUCACUAAGAUUGGAAAAAUCCUCUAAGACCAUCUAAUCCAGCUAUCCGUCUACCAUUAAUAUUGCCCACUGAACCAUGUCCCUAAGUACCACAUCUGCACUUUUCUUGAACACCUCCAGGGACAGUGACUCCACUGUUUCCCUGGACAUCUUGUUCCAGUGCCCAACCACUUUUUUGGUGAGCUUGCUUUUGCUGAUAUUCAACCUGAACCACUCUUGGUGCAACUUGAUAGCAUUAAUCUUGCAGGGAGAGAAGUACUGCAUAUGCUUGUAUAUGUAGUAGCACACAGAGGCUGGUAUAAACUCAGAGCAACUCGUGAGCGUUCUUUUCAGCCAGGUGCAGAGCUGUCCUUUUGUUUCUAAUGCCUCUAGCACAGAGGUGAGGAAGCAGUUUGGAGCUGAAUAUGAAGGUGCAGAUAAUAUAAGUGGUAGGGUGGCCUCUUGGGGAGUGGUAAUUGAGCUGUAAAAGCCUAACAAAUCCAAGAAGCAGCCUAAGAGAAAAGCCUCUGCUCAACACUGCACACCAGGUUGUAGUUUCAAACUACAAGACAUUUCUUAAAAAAGCCAGCAGGAGGCUAACUAGUCAUUGUCAGUAGGAGUCUAAGCCCCUUAAGUCAGAGCAAAGUUAUUAAAAUGCAAUGUUUACUUGUUUAAAAAAUAAAAGAACUUCUAGGGAGAUUAAUUUUCACUUCAGUCUGGCAAUCAUUUCAUAAACAUGCCAGUGUGAUUUAAGGCAAGCUGGAUCUGUUCUUCUCUGGAUUAUGCAUCUGAUUUGUCUGCAGAUUUCCCACCCCUAACAAAUAAAAGCAGUUUUAUUGUUUUAACAAAGAGGAUUUUAACACAAAGUUUAAUCAAAAUGCCACUGGCACCCAUGCUGAACUGAGCUUUUCUGUAAUGAACAUACAUUUAUCAGGGAUAUAUAGAAAACAGCUGAGGACUCAACUCGGAAUGGUGAUUUGGAGUUUGAGUCAUCUCUGCUGUUGGUGUAUUUCAUUAAGACCACUGUGAUAAUGCACUGGUGAAACACAUGGAGCUGAAAUGAGACUUUUCAUUCCCAUAAAGAGGUUGUUCCUGUACUAAGCACAGUAAAUUCCAGAAAGUCUGGAAUUUCCUUUAUAGGAGCCCUGUGUCCUCUGCUAGACUGGCACGUACACUGAAUGCACAAGAUUUUGAGCAACAAAUGCUUCUUCAAGAGCUGUUUGAGUAUUUGUAAAGAUUUCUCAUUCUGCUAAUUGCAUCACCCUUAUUGUAGGAGGUAUGGGGUAUUUUCCAUCUUGUGGAAUACUGUGCACUAUCUCUGAGGUUAUGAAUAGAUCUAAAUUUCACUGUAGUGAAUCCUCAAGGUUUGCAGUAUCUGAAGCAUUAUAUUGUCUGCAAGGAUCAUAUCAUGGGGACAUGGUUUAGUGGGCAUGGCUGGUCUAGAUGAUCUUUGAGGUCUUCCACUUUGAUGAUGUUAUGAUUCUAUUUGUAUGCUGUAGAAACAGCGAAGGAUCUGCCCCUUUCUUUGGGAGAUACAAGGAGAAAGCUGGAGAAAGCAACCCAUUCCAAUUGCAGAUUGCCUCUUAACAGAGUCCUUAGAUGUCAGGGUGUGUCAUACCUUGUGAAAAGUACUAUUAGGUGUUUUAAGUGCCUCUUUCUGGCAAAAGUUUGGCUGUCCUACAGCCCCAAAUCAGCAGCUUCUUCCUAAUGAUCUGCACUGUUACACCAGGAGAGGGGGAUCUGUGAGUAGUUCCUGAAGCUGUCAGCUGAGGAACAAACCUAGGCGGGCAGGGGAGGAUGAUGAAUUCCAGCACGUGAACAGCUUGAAAUAUUUAGAACCUGGAAGCAAAGGGGAAAGUGGGAGACAUUCUCCCUGGCUUUUCAGUUUCAGAAAUUAAAAGCAAGCCCUAUUGCCUGGAUGUGGAUGCUAAUUCUCCAUGGGGUUUGAGAAAUGAUGUAUGCAGAGACAGCCUUUCAGUGUACAACUCAGAGCUAAAGCACAGAAGAAAACUAGUAUAUUUUAGUAAAACGCCUUGAAAAUAAGUAAUUUACUUGAAAUAAAUUUCACCAUUGAUUCCCUCUAGUUAACUUGCAUCAAAAAACAUCGACUUCUCUUUUGCAGCUUUGGGGUUUGGAAUGGCUUUACUUCUUUUUCACCAGAAUCGUGGAGUAUAUAUAUAGUUCUCCAUGCUAGCUGUAAGUAGCUUUGACAGUUCAAUAAAUACAUUCUGUGUUCUUUACAGCUGACCCUAGGUAAGGACAGCCUUGAGGAUGUGAAGCAGUGUUGCAUAAAUGUGUAGAGUACAUAGCAACACUGAGAAGAGAGAUGCUGCUGCGUUGCUUUGGUGCACUAGACAUACAUUAAAAUUCUGUCAUUGCAAGGUCGCAUUGCUCAUCUCAUACUCUACAACUUUGGAUAAGAAUGGAAGGUGGGGGAGGAAGAGCAAAAACUUCCACCUUGUGCUAUAGCUGAGAACUUGUCAGCAGCAUUUCUUUCUAUUUCAAAAGAGCAUGCUAUUUCUUUUUUAGGGAUAAUGGAUUCUUGGUGCUGAGUAGUGGUGUUUGCAUGUUAGUGGUAACAUGUUACUUCUGAACUGAAUAAAUAGCACCUCUGGGUCUUUUCUUCUCCCUUAAAUUAUCAAAGAGAAAUACCAAAUACCAGACAGCACACAGAGUGGACUGUGCUCUAAGCUGCUCCCAAUGCAGCCUUGUUAGCAGUGCUGCACAGAAACUCUGCAAGCUGGUGGGAAGAAGCAAGGUUUAGGCAAAGAGGAAAGAACUCUUGAAGUGGAAGCACAACAGUAAUAUAUCAUUUGAAACCAGAAGCAGGCAUGUCACAGCACUGGCUGUCACAUGUGAAUGGUGCUGAGUCAGAAGCCUACCCUACCAGUAUACGUGACAUCAAGGAAUGUUGAGAGCUCUCAAAUUGAGUUUACAAUGUGAGAUGAAAGGAAGUUAGGUGAGCCACCUGUUCGGUUUCCAGCUUGGGGCUUGGAUCUGCCCUGUCUGAGAGCUUCUUGUAUAGAUGAUGAGCUGGUCUGACUCCCAAGUGUGGACUCAGUUGUGUAGCUAACUGAGGGUAUGUACAUCCCCUUUGUAUUUCUAUGGCUUUGCAAAAGCAAGUUGCUCAGUGACUGGGAGCAGAGUAUCUUACUGUAGGGUUAGUUGCUCGAAAUCCUGUUCUUUCCAGUUAAGCACAAUGGCCUGACCAGAUGAAGAUGAUGACUGCCAGUUUCCAUUGGUAAAUGAAUAUGGCCUGCCCAUAUUCACACUCAUGUUCAUGGGAAAAAAAGGGAAAAUCUGCAGAGAAUAUCUAAGUUCUUUCUUGUUCCUUUUUUGUGCUGAUGGAAGAGAAGUGCUUAAAUUGGGAAGAUUCAUCCAUGGUAUUCUUUCUGAUUCCUUAAAUGCUUGUAACUAUUCAAACUGUGCUUUUUUGAGAGAAACUUAAUGGACAUAAUGUCCUCAAGUGGAGUUAAACAACAUGGCUGAGAUGCAGUGUGGCAAACUGCCUCCUAUUGACUGAAAUAUCAUUGUCUGUUGGAGCAGAAGGCAUCGGUGCUUUCAUUAGUCUCAGUGUAUUCCAUGGAAACCUAGUGGGAGCAUUCAGCUACCCCACUUCCUUCCUGUAUACCUCCAGUCUUCAUCUGGGUUUGGUGCUCUGACCUUUAGAUUACUGGAAGCCACCUUGUCCAUAUGUCACCGAAUCACAGAGUGACUUGGGUUGGAAGGGGCAUUUAAAGAUCGUCUAGUUUCCUUUUCUAUUGUCACUUCCCUCCCUAAACAUCUUAAUUGUGUCAGGAAACCCCCUCUGCUUCCCUUCACUCAGGAAAACGAUACAGUGGGAAAUGCAGAGUUUAUUUUACUCAUAGCCAUAUUCAUAGCUAUAGCCACAGCCUAGUCUCUAGCCUUUAUAAUGCUCCUAAUGUAUGUGAUCUAGUGAGAGUCAUCUAGUCACCUUAAAUAGCAUUAGUUGAAUGGAUGCAGGAUUCUAGCCCUGAAAAUGCUUUUUUAGAAUGGGAGGAGAGGCCAUGCCACAGUGAUGGGUAAAUGGGAAAAACGCACAAAUAGCCAAGAUUAUAUCAUCUUCUGGAUAAGAAACGGGAACCCAUUUUGUGAAAUUCAGACUGUGGCCAUCAGUGAAAUUAAGUCAUGUUUCUGCUUUCACACGUAGGCACUGCAAGACAAAGGUCAGUGAUGGAAAGAACUUGCUUCUUUCAAUUACAUUCUCUAUUUCCAUACAACUCCUAGCUUAUCAGUGGCACAUAAAUUCCUCCUUUCACUGAUUAAAUAUUUCCUCACCUGAUUUCUUUGCUUCUGGGAGUUUGAGAGCUCACUGUUCAUAAAGGAAAAGAAGGAUUAUGCUAUUAAGCAGACAGCUCCCAACACAUAUGUUCUGCUCUGCAUCUUUGAGGAGGCACUGAUGCUUCUACAACUGCAGAAGGGCAGUUUUAUUGAGAUUCAGAGGCAGCCAAGUGCCUCUUCCAGGAUUUUGAUGUUGAUGAAGCUCUGGGUUAAUUAAUUAGCUUUUUUUUCUGAAUCAAGAAGCUUUAGCCCAUCUGUGCCAGGCUGUGAAACCCUUAAUGCUACCUAGCUUUUCUUUCCCUGUGUUCCUUUCAGUCAUUUGCAAGAGCAAAUUUGAUGAAGCACAUCUGAGUAAGGAAAGGUUUCCUGGUCCCCUGAGAAUUUAGGGGAAAAGUCCUAACUGUGACAUUUCCCUCAAACUGAGAACCAAAGAGAUAGAUAGUUUGGGCCAGCUAUAUUUAUUUCAUAAUGUGCAAAUGGUUUUGUGCGUGGUUGUUUUUUGUGUUUUUUUUUUCUGGUUCUAUUUUUAUAUUGUUUAAA